GCCAGGUGUGGUGGCGCACACCUGUAAUCCCAGCAGCUCGGGAGGCUGAGGCAGGAGGAUCUCAAGUUCAAAGCCAGCCUCAGCAAAAGUGAGAUGCUAAGUAACUCAGUGAGACCCUGUCUCUA
rnacentral:sRNA from 1 species